UACGGGGGGGGGUAAGCGUUUGUUCGGAAUUACUGGGCGUAAAGGGCUCGUAGGCGGCCAACUAAGUCAGACGUGAAAUCCCUCAGCUUAACUGGGGAACUGCGUCUGAUACUGGAUGGCUUGGAUUCGGGAGAGGAAUGCGGAAUUCCAGGUGUAGCGGUGAAAUGCGUAGAUAUCGGAAGGAACAUCAGUGGCGAAAGCGGCUUCCUGGUCCAGCACCGACGUUCAGGCACGAAAGCGUGGGGAGCAAACAGG
rnacentral:rRNA from 1 species